rnacentral:tRNA from 1 species
GGCGCUAUCGUCUAGCGGUCAGGACACUGGGUUCUCAUCCCAGAAACCAGGGUUCGAUUCCCUGUAGCGUCA